rnacentral:rRNA from 1 species
GACGAACGCUUGCGGCGUGCUUAACACAUGCAAGUCGAGCGGAAAGGCUCCUUCGGGGGUACUCGAGCGGCGAACGGGUGAGUAACACGUGAGUAAUCUGCCCUGGACUCUGGGAUAGCCACCGGAAACGGUGAUUAAUACCGGAUAUGACCCUCCACCGCAUGGUGUGUGGGUGGAAAGUUUUCUCGGUUCAGGUGGUGCUCGCGGCCUAUCAGCUUGUUGGUGAGGUAAUGGUUCACCAAGGCUUUGACGGGUAGCCGGCAUGAGAGGGUGACCGGUCACACUGGGACUGAGACACGGUCCAGACUCCUACGGGAGGCAGCAAUGGUGAAUAUUGGACAAUGGGCGGAAGCCUGAUCCAGCAACGCCGCGUGAGGGAUGACGGCCUUCGGGUUGUAAACCUCUUUCAGUACCGACGAAGCGCAAGUGACGGUAGGUACAGAAGAAGGACCGGCCAACUACGUGCCAGCCGCCGCGGUAACAC